rnacentral:rRNA from 1 species
GACGAACGCUGGCGGCGUGCCUAAUACAUGCAAGUCGAACGCUGAAGGAGGAGCUUGCUUCUCUGGAUGAGUUGCGAACGGGUGAGUAACGCGUAGGUAACCUGCCUGGUAGCGGGGGAUAACUAUUGGAAACGAUAGCUAAUACCGCAUAAGAGUAGAUGUUGCAUGACAUUUGCUUAAAAGGUGCAAUUGCAUCACUACCAGAUGGACCUGCGUUGUAUUAGCUAGUUGGUGGGGUAACGGCUUACCAAGGCGACGAUACAUAGCCGACCUGAGAGGGGGAUCGGCCACACUGGGACUGUGACACGGCCCAGACUCCUACGGGAGGCAGCAGUAGGGCAUCUUCGGCAAUGGACGGAAGUCUGACCGAGCAACGCCGCGUGAGUGAAGAAGGGUUUCGGAUCGUAAAGCUCUGUUGUAAGAGAAGAACGAGUGUGAGAGUGGAAAGUUCACACUGUGACGGUAUCUUACCAGAAAGGGACGGCUAACUACGUG